GAAUUUGAGGGUUCAACAAGAAGUCAACAUAAUAAUUGAGGCAAAAAGCGAACCAAAAAAAGAAUGAGAAGAAAAAAAAAAAAGGAAGAAAAAAUAAAUGAAGUGUGAAGUCCAUUUGUUAGGUAUAGCUUCGAAGUUCUGCAACAAAAAACCAUCCAAAUUCAUUGACAAAUCCAUCUGUGUGUGUAAUCACCAAAGAGAUGUGCUCCCCGGCAAUUAAGGGCUCAAUGAAUAUGAACUCAUGGCGUAAUUGCAAUUUUCAGAAGCAGGACGAAGCUGUUCUAUAUACAUCUGUCAUUCAAGAAUCUGGUGCUCCUCAUCUAGAUGACAAAGAUCGAUCCUCAGGGACAUGGUUUGAGUUGGAUUCCUGCUCUUUUAUAUAAUUUUCAUUUCAUUUCUUUGAAAACUAUAUUUGCAUUUGCAACUUGAAUCUUUCUAGAAGAUAAAUUAUUUAUGCAAUAUAAUAGGUUACCCAAAUCAUGAUUCCAAACGUAGAUGUUUCUCUGUUCUGGAGUCUGACUGCGUCUAGGAUGUGUAGAGUUGAGUUGCUUUCUUCUUUAUAUACUUAGGAAUGCUAUAUUCAGGCAUCUAUAUCAAAAAUUUAGAGAAGACCCUAAAAUAGCUUGCUGUGUGGAGGACAAAAUUUAUAGAUAUUGGAUGUAUUCUAUAUACUGUAUUAGAACUAUUUCAUGCAGGUGUGGUCUUUUAUUUUCUGUAGUUCAAGUCAGGCUGAAUUGGCGGGCCUGGAAACGUGAUCUAAUAUAAGAAAAAAAAAGCGUAUUUGGUGCAGAGAACAGAAAGCCUAAAAAUGAUAUCUUAAUUGACGAAAUGCUGCAGCUGAAGGAAUCGUGUUCUAGCUUUUACAAUCAGGAUUAUCUUGAUAAGAUCAAGGAAUUGCAGUUUUAUGUUGAUAAGGUGAAGAGAUUCACAAGACCCGGUUGUUCGGCAGAAGCUUUGGAUGUUGCCUUGAGCUCGAUUUCCUCCCUUGUCGAUACACUAUCAGCAAUGUCUUCCAAACAGCUUAUUCUUCACGCAUCGCUUUGACAAAACCAGGUAGACAUAUGGAUUGUAAUUCUAUCACUCGCUGUCUUUCUUCUAAUCUCAGCUUUAUUUAUACACCACUUAUUGCAGUAAACAGAGUUUCUACUCUAAUCUUGGUAUUAUAUUGCAUUUAGUUUUUAAAAA